CUCCUCUGUCACCGUCGCCCACCGUCUUGACACCCUUCUUUCUCGGUCUUGUCUAUCGGUGGUGCUUUCGCUCUUCGUGACAGCGGUGAUUCCUUGGCUCUCUCAAACGGAGGCUCGAAGGUUCUCGGUGCUUUCGCUUUUUGUGACAGCGGUGAUUCCUUGGCUCUCUCUAUCGGAGAUGAGUUAUAUAUCAGAUGGAGCUUCAAAAUCGAGUCGAAGAUCAAUUUGGAAGAAAGCCGAACCAAUUCCAAAAAAAGGUUUUCCACAGCUAUGUGAAUGCGGAGCAUCUAUUAUGAGGUUGACAUCUAAAACUGAAGCUAAUCCCGGCAGAGUUUUUUUUCGAUGUGCAACACAGGGAAAUCAAGGACACGUAUUCAAAUGGGCGGAUGAAGCAAUAUGCGAAGAAAUUGAGGACAUACGUAUCAAAAAUCAAAACAUCCUUCAUGUCGCGGAUAAAUUGAAGGCCGAAAUGGAGCUAUUGAAAGGAAUUGUAUAUAAAAUGUUGUUCGGCAUCGUGGUUUUAGUUGUGUUAUGUCUGUAUUAUUACGUUAUUAUUCGUAUUUAAAGGUUGUAUUAUGUUGUGGUUGAUGUUUUGGACAUGUAUGAUC